GGGGUGCAGCAGGCGCGAACACUUUACAAUGCGGGAAACCGCGAUAAGGGAACCCCGAGUGCCAGCAUCAAAUGUUGGCUGUCCAGAUGAUUAAAAAUCAUUUGUUAGCAAGGGCCGGGCAAGACCGGUGCCAGCCGCCGCGGUAACACCGGCGGCCCGAGUGGUAGCCGUUUUUAUUGGGUCUAAAGGGUCCGUAGCCGGCCUGAUAAGUCCUUUGGGAAAUCUGGCAGCUUAACUGUCAGGCUUCUAAGGGAUACUGUCAGGCUUGGGACCGGAAGAGGUAAGGGGUACUCCAGGGGUAGGAGUGAAAUCUUGUAAUCCCUGGGGGACCAUCUGUGGCGAAGGCGCCUUACCAGAACGGGUCCGACGGUGAGGGACGAAAGCUAGGGGAGCAAACCGGAUUAGAUACCCGGGUAGUCCUAGCUGUAAACGAUGCUCGCUAGGUGUCAGACACGGUGCGACCGUGUUUGGUGCCGCAGGGAAGCCGUUAAGCGAGCCACCUGGAAGUACGUCGCAAGGC
rnacentral:rRNA from 1 species